rnacentral:lncRNA from 1 species
UCGCACGAGCCUAAACUGCCAACCAAAGUUCGAUCCACGACACAACCACCUUGUUUCAAUAGAAAAACGUCAAACUCGUGCGACGUUAAAGAGUCGAGAUAGAAAAAACGUCAAACUCGUGCGACGUUAAAGAGUCGAGACAGGAAAAACGUCAAACUCGUGCGACGUUAAAGAGCCGAGACAGGAAAAACAUCAAACUCGUGCGACGUUAAACAGUCGAAACAGGAAAACAUCAAACUCAUGCGACGAUAAAGAGGCGAGACAGGAAAAACGUCAAACUCGUGUGAUGUUAAAGAGUCGAGAUAGGUAACGUCUAGCCCCAUAUGACGUAAAAUGUCGGAUGUAUUCAGGGCACAACCACCUUAUUCAAUGUGUUCAGGGCACAACCAACCUGUUCAAUGUGUUCUGCGCACAAUCACCCUGUUCAAUGUGUUCAAGGCACAACCACCAUGUUCAAACGUCUAGCCCCGUAUGACACAGGGUAUAUCCAGUUCAACGUCAAACUCGUGCGAUGUAAAAGAGCCGAGACAGGUAAUGUCUAGCCCCAUAUGACGUAAAAUGUCGGAUGUGUUCAAGGCACAAGCACCCUGUUCAAUAUUGUUCAGGGCACAACCAC